rnacentral:misc_RNA from 1 species
AAGUCGUAACAAGGUCUCCGUAGGUGAACCUGCGGAGGGAUCAUUAAAACGUAUCCACGUAUAAACCUUUGUGAACUUGUUUUUCAUAACGAACGUGGGAGAUAACGAUUAAGAACUGAGAUUGAUUCAUCAGGAGUCGAGUCAAUGUAUCAGGAGUUAUCUCUUUUCGUCUCCUAUUUUUAACACUUUAUUAACCCUAUGUAAAAUUUUUAAUGUACUUAAACGAGUUUUAUGCGAAAGCAUUUAACUUGAAAAAACAUAAAAAAUUAUAGCACAACUCUUAGCAACGGAUAUCUAGGCUCUC